UGGUCUUAGCUUGCUAAGGCUGAUGGCGACCGGCGCACGGGUGAGUAACACGUAUCCAACCUGCCGUCUACUCUUGGCCAGCCUUCUGAAAGGAAGAUUACUCCAGGAUGGCAUCAUGAGUUCACAUGUCCGCAUGAUUAAAGGUAUUUUCCGGUAGACGAUGGGGAUGCGUUCCAUUAGAUAGUAGGCGGGGUAACGGCCCACCUAGUCAACGAUAGAUAGGGGUUCUGAGAGGAAGGUCCCCCACAUUGGAACUGAGACACGGUCCAAACUCCUACGGGAGGCAGCAGUGAGGAAUAUUGGUCAAUGGGCGAUGGCCUGAACCAGCCAAGUAGCGUGAAGGAUGACUGCCCUAUGGGUUGUAAACUUCUUUUAUAAAGGAAUAAAGUCGGGUAUGCAUACCCGUUUGCAUGUACUUUAUGAAUAAGGAUCGGCUAACUCCGUGCCAGCAGCCGCGGUAAUACGGAGGAUCCGAGCGUUAUCCGGAUUUAUUGGGUUUAAAGGGAGCGUAGAUGGAUGUUUAAGUCAGUUGUGAAAGUUUGCGGCUCAACCGUAAAAUUGCAGUUGAUACUGGAUGUCUUGAGUGCAGUUGAGGCAGGCGGAAUUCGUGGUGUAGCGGUGAAAUGCUUAGAUAUCACGAAGAACUCCGAUUG
rnacentral:rRNA from 1 species